rnacentral:misc_RNA from 1 species
GAUGAAGACGUAGCGAAAUGCGAUAAGUAAUGUGAAUUGCAGAAUUCAGUGAAUCAUCGAAUCUUUGAACGCACCUUGCACCCUUUGGCAUUCCGAAGGGUAUGCUCGUUUGAGUGUCAUUGUACUCUCACACUCUCCGAUCCUAUGGAUUCGGGGAGCGGUGGACUUGGGUGUUGCUGCCUUUCCUUGUGGCUCACCUCAAAUGUGUCAGUGCACCUCUUGGUUGGACAUAGUACGGCGUGAUAAGUGUCUUCGCCGGCACCUCGCAAGAGGGUGGCCGAUCGGGAGCUCUGUGCUUUCAAACCGUCUUCGGACAAUUUCUGACAACUUGACCUCAAAUCGAGUAGGACUACCCGCUGAACUUAAGCAUAUCAAUAAGCGGAGGA